rnacentral:snoRNA from 1 species
AAGACUAUACUUUUCAGGGAUCAUUUCUAUAGUUUGUUACCAAUAUGGGUUUAUUAGGAUAUCACACACACACA